rnacentral:rRNA from 1 species
GAUGAACGCUGGCGGCGUGCCUAAUACAUGCAAGUCGAGCGAACAGACGAGGAGCUUGCUCCUCUGACGUUAGCGGCGGACGGGUGAGUAACACGUGGAUAACCUACCUAUAAGACUGGGAUAACUUCGGGAAACCGGAGCUAAUACCGGAUAAUAUAUUGAACCGCAUGGUUCAAUAGUGAAAGACGGUUUUGCUGUCACUUAUAGAUGGAUCCGCGCCGCAUUAGCUAGUUGGUAAGGUAACGGCUUACCAAGGCAACGAUGCGUAGACGACCUGAGAGGGUGCUCGGCCACACUGGAACGGAGACUCGGUCCAUACUCCUACGGGAGGCAGCAGUAGGGAAGCUUCCGCAAUGGGCCGAAGCCUGACGGAGCAACGCCGCGUGAGUGAUGUAGGUCUUCUGAUCCUAAACCUCUGUUAUCAGGGAAGACCAAAUGUGUAAGUAACUAUGCACGUCUUGACGGUACCUAAUCAGAAAGCCACGGCUAACUACGUG